UGGGGAAUCUUCCGCAAUGGGCGAAAGCCUGACGGAGCAAUGCCGCGUGAGUGAAGAAGGCCUUCGGGUUGUAAAACUCUGUCCUUGUCGAGGAGAGCGAAGGAGAGUAACUGCUCCAUCGAGGACGGUAGACAAGGAGGAAGCCCCGGCUAACUAUGUGCCAGCAGCCGCGGUAAAACAUAGGGGGCAAGCGUUGUCCGGAAUCACUGGGCGUAAAGGGCGCGUAGGCGGUUUGUUAAGUCGGAUGUGAAAGGUUAGGGCUCAACCCUGAACGUGCAUCCGAUACUGGCAAACUUGAGUGUGGAAGAGGCAAGUGGAAUUCCUAGUGUAGCGGUGAAAUGCGUAGAUAUUAGGAGGAACACCAGUGGCGAAGGCGACUUGCUGGGCCAUAACUGACGCUGAGGCGCGAAAGCGUGGGGAGCAAACAGG
rnacentral:rRNA from 1 species